GCUCCGGUGGCAUAAUGGUUAGAGUGUCUGCCUCAGAUGCGGGAGGUCGUGGGUUCGAACCCCGACCGAGUCU